rnacentral:rRNA from 1 species
GAUGAACGCUAGCGGGAGGCUUAACACAUGCAAGUCGAGGGGCAGCACGAUGUAGCAAUACGUUGGUGGCGACCGGCGCACGGGUGAGUAACGCGUAUGCAACCUACCCUGUACAGGGGGAUAGCCCGGAGAAAUUCGGAUUAAUACCCCAUAACGAUAUCUGGAGGCAUCUUUAGAUAUUUAAAGAUUUAUCGGUACGGGAUGGGCAUGCGUAACAUUAGCUAGUUGGUAGGGUAAUGGCCUACCAAGGCAACGAUGUUUAGGGGUCCUGAGAGGGUGAUCCCCCACACUGGUACUGAGACACGGACCAGACUCCUACGGGAGGCAGCAGUGAGGAAUAUUGGUCAAUGGGCGUAAGCCUGAACCAGCCAUCCCGCGUGCAGGAAGAAGGCGCUAUGCGUUGUAAACUGCUUUUCCAGGGGAAGAAAACUUUCGUCGUGACGAGACUUGCCGGUACCCUGGGAAUAAGCAUCGGCUAACUCCGUGCCAGCAGCCGCCGUAACAC